UACAGAGGUCUCAAGCGUUGUUCGGAUUCAUUGGCGUAAAGGGUGCGUAGGUGGCGAUGUAAGUCUGGUGUGAAAUCUCGGGGCUCAACCUCGAAAUUGCAUUGGAUACUGCGUUGCUUGAGGAUUGUAGAGGAGAGUGGAAUUCACGGUGUAGCAGUGAAAUGCGUAGAUAUCGUGAGGAAGACCAGUUGCGAAGGCGACUCUCUGGGCAAUUCCUGACACUGAGGCACGAAGGCCAGGGGAGCAAACGGG
rnacentral:rRNA from 1 species